rnacentral:rRNA from 1 species
AUUGAACGCUGGCGGCAGGCCUAACACAUGCAAGUCGAGCGGAUGAGUGGAGCUUGCUCCAUGAUUCAGCGGCGGACGGGUGAGUAAUGCCUAGGAAUCUGCCUGGUAGUGUGGGACAACAGUUGGAAACGACUGCUAAUACCGCAUACGUCCUACGGGAGAAAGCAGGGGACCUUCGGGCCUUGCGCUAUCAGAUGAGCCUAGGUCGGAUUAGCUAGUAGGUGAGGUAAUGGCUCACCUAGGCGACGAUCCGUAACUGGUCUGAGAGGAUGAUCAGUCACACUGGAACUGAGACACGGUCCAGACUCCUACGGGAGGCAGCAGUGGGGAAUAUUGGACAAUGGGCGAAAGCCUGAUCCAGCCAUGCCGCGUGUGUGAAGAAGGUCUUCGGAUUGUAAAGCACUUUAAGUUGGGAGGAAGGGCAGUAAGUUAAUACCUUGCUGUUUUGACGUUACCAACAGAAUAAGCACCGGCUAACUUCGUGCCAGCCGCCGCAGUAAGAC